GUGGGGAAUCUUCCGCAAUGGACGAAAGUCUGACGGAGCAACGCCGCGUGAGUGAAGAAGGUUUUCGGAUCGUAAAGCUCUUUCGUUAGGGACGAACGUGCUCUUUGUGAAUAAUGAGGAGUAAUGACGGUACCUAAAUAAGAAGCCACGGCUAACUACGUGCCAGCAGCCGCGGUAAUACGUAGGUGGCAAGCGUUGUCCGGAAUUAUUGGGCGUAAAGCGCGUGCAGGCGGGAUAUCAAGUCUGUCUUAAAAGUGCGAGGCUCAACCUCGUGAGGGGACAGAAACUGGUAUUCUUGAGUGUCGGAGAGGAAAGUGGAAUUCCAAGUGUAGCGGUGAAAUGCGUAGAGAUUUGGAAGAACACCAGUGGCGAAGGCGACUUUCUGGACGAUGUCUGACGCUGAGGCGCGAAAGCUAGGGGAGCGAACGGGAUUAGAAACCCCAGUAGUCC
rnacentral:rRNA from 1 species